rfam:Colletotrichum gloeosporioides Cg-14 contig01090, whole genome shotgun sequence.
GGUCUGGUGGUGUAGUGGUUAUCACGUCAGUCUCACACACUGAAGGUCCCCGGUUCAAUCCCGGGUCAGAUCA